GGUGAACGCUGGCGGCGUGCCUAAUACAUGCAAGUCGAGCGGUAAGGCCCCUUCGGGGGUACACGAGCGGCGGACGGCUGAGUAACGCGUAGGAACGUACCCCAAAGUGAGGGAUAAGCACCAGAAAUGGUGGUCUAAUACCGCAUGUGCUCUACGGAGUAAAGCUUCGGCGCUUUGGGAACGGCCUGCGUCUGAUUAGCUUGUUGGUGAGGUAAAAGCUCACCAAGGCGACGAUCAGUAGCUGGUCUGAGAGGAUGAUCAGCCAGACUGGGGACUGAGACACGGCCCAGACUCCUACGGGAGGCAGCAGUAGGGAAUUUUCCACAAUGGGCGAAAGCCUGAUGGAGCAACGCCGCGUUGCAGGAUA
rnacentral:rRNA from 1 species